GUGCUUGUUUUGGCUGCACAUACACUAAGAUUGGAAUAGUACAUAGAUUAGCAUGGCCCCUGCUUAAGGAUUGACACAAAAAUGAGUUGGACAUGAUCAUUUGUA
ensembl:snRNA LOC120093921 U6 spliceosomal RNA